rnacentral:rRNA from 1 species
UACACACCGCCCGUCACACCAUGGGAGUCUGCAAUGCCCAAAGCCGGUGGCCUAACCUUCGGGAAGGAGCCGUCUAAGGCAGGGCAGAUGACUGGGGUGAAGUCGUAACAAGGUAGCCGUAGGAGAACCUGCGGCUGGAUCACCUCCUUUCUAAGGAA